rnacentral:rRNA from 1 species
GACGUAGGGCGCGAGCGUUGUCCGGAUUUAUUGGGCGUAAAGAGCUCGUAGGCGGUUUGUCGCGUCGUCCGUGAAAACUCACAGCUUAACUGUGAGCUUGCGGUCGAUACGGGCAGGCUAGAGUUCGGUAGGGGAGACUGGAAUUCCUGGUGUAGCGGUGAAAUGCGUAGAGAUCCGGAGGAACACCAAAGGCGAAGGCAGUGUCCUGGGGAGUACCUGACGCUCAGGUGCGAAAGCCAGGGGAGCGAACGGG